GAUGAACGCUAGCGGCAGGCCUAAUACAUGCAAGUCGAGGGGUAAAUAUGUAGCAAUAUAUAUGAGACCGGCGCACGGGUGCGUAACACGUAUGCAACCUACAUUUUACUGGGGAAUAGCUCAGAGAAAUCUGAAUUAAUACCCCAUAUUAUCCCGAUGUGGCAUCACUUUGGGAUUAAAGCUCCGGCGGUAAAAGAUGGGCAUGCGGAACAUUAGCUAGUUGGUAAGGUAAUGGCUUACCAAGGCUACGAUGUUUAGGGGGUCUGAGAGGAUGAUCCCCCACACUGGUACUGAGACACGGACCAGACUCCGACGGGAGGCAGCAGUAGGGAAUAUUGGUCAAUGGACGCAAGUCUGAACCAGCCAUGCCGCGUGCAGGAUGAAUGUCCUAUGGAUUGUAAACUGCUUUUUUACGGGAAGAAACCCCUGGAUGCGUCCGGGGCUGACGGUACCGUAAGAAUAAGGAUCGGCUAACUUCGUGCCAGCCGCCGCUGUAAUAC
rnacentral:rRNA from 1 species